CAGCAGCCGCGGUAAUACGAAGGGUGCAAGCGUUAAUCGGAAUUACUGGGCGUAAAGCGUGCGUAGGCGGUUUGUUAAGUCUGUUGUGAAAUCCCCGGGCUCAACCUGGGAAUGGCAAUGGAUACUGGCAAGCUAGAGUGUGUCAGAGGAUGGUGGAAUUCCACGUGUAGCAGUGAAAUGCGUAGAGAUGUGGAGGAACACCGAUGGCGAAGGCAGCCCCCUGGGCCAAUACUGACGCUCAUGCACGAAAGCGUGGGGAGCAAACAGGAUUAGAUACCCCAGUAGUCCCUGUCUCUUAUAA
rnacentral:rRNA from 1 species